UUCUCUCUCUCUCUCACUCUCUGUAAGCGAGAGCCACAGAGACCUCUCACUCUCACUCUUUCCCUUUCACUGGUUGUGGUUAUUAGUGUUGCACAAUCACAACCAGGUAUUCAGAUCCCUCUUUCCCUUUUAGAUCUGAACAUGCAUCGUCUCUCCCAUGGCUUCAAAGCACAUCCUUAAGGAGCUCAAGGACUUGCAGAAAGACCCACCAACUUCUUGCAGGUCAAGUUCAAGGUACAAGGAAUAUGUGACUAGCUUGUUCACUGGUGUUGUCGUAGUAGCCACUACCACCCUUUGACACCGCCAAGGUGAAUCAUUUCCUUGGAUAAACUGAAAAGAAGAUCAAGCAUUAUUGAGGGAUCUCUUAAAUCCCAUUUGAACCAGACCUCAACCUCUAAAGUCUGUUAGAUUGGAGUCGUUGAAAGUGAAAUUGGGGCAACCCUUUAUCUACCAAAAACACAUAUGAUAAGAAAGUAACCAGAGCAGUGGAGUACUUGCUUCAAAACUCUCCAAUGCCCAGAUUUGAUAUAAUAAGAAGUGCUUAAAUGAUAUCCAUGCUUAACUCUUUAGGUAGAGUUUUACGCAAUAUCCAAUUUUUGUCUAUUUUAUGCUUCCUUUCUUUUUGUCUUAAACACUUUUUUUUAGAACUACUUGUAGGUUGCUGCUAUAUUCUAAGUGCCUUGUUCAUAAGGAUGUUAUAGAUUUAUUUUAUUUGGCUUUGACAAAAAGAAAAUUUUAAAC